UCUACUGUUGUAUUAUGAUAUUUGUGUGAAGCUAGAGCAAUGUCAUGGAGCCUAUUUCCAUUCGUAUUGUUAUGGGAUUUGGGAAACAUACAUGUUUUGCAAUGCCAAGACUUCCAUGGUUAAAGAAUAUCAUUAGAAUACUUAAAAAAACCUUUGUCUAGGCAUUAUUAUGUGGACUAUGUGCCAGAACUCUAUUGUUGUUCAGUGAACAACUCAAGCUAGAUACAUUUUGCAUGCUGUGAAGGAUCCUUAUGGUAGGAGAGCAAUGAAGCUGCAAUCAUGGUCACAUGGAAGGGUCCAAUGUGGUAGUUGUGAGCUGGAAUGCUUUAUUUCUACAAAAAUAGAACUUUGAAAUGCUUUAAAUUAUCAUGCUGUCACCGCAUCUUGCACUUAUAAAGGUUGUUGGCCUGAAAGGUGGUUUAGUUUAUAUGGAGAAGUUGGUCUUUGCUUUUCGGAACAAAGCAAAGAAUUGUUGCAUUUUAGUUGUAAUAAGAUUACCUAUCACUUGCAAUGUUCUCUCACCAAACCUCAGAGUGGGCAAUCUUUCCUGACAUUAAAUGCUUUUAAAUCCUCUUCUUGCCUUAAAUUCUCUUAUAUACUUCUAAUAGCUUUUUCGCUGAUCCUGUUCUAGAAAGAACGUUGAAAUACAAAAUUGGAGAAUCCUUCUAAAUGCAUGCUGCAUCCGACUAACCAGUUGUUACACGGUGACUUACAGCCAGAAGUAAUCUUAUCUGGCUUCACUAGUCCCUCUAUCUUCUUUUACAUCUAUUAUAUAUUUAUGUCCUUUUGAUCAUAAGCAUGCUUUUAAUUUGUGCAUUUCCAUUUGAAACCUUCUUCAGUUCAAUAAGAAAGAGUCCGGUGUUUAUCAUGAACAUGUCUUGUGUUCAUCAUGAAUAUGUCUUGUGUAAUGAAGCUGACUGUAAAUUGAUUUUAUAAACUAUUGAAUUUUCCUUUGAAUAAAAUUAAGCACUGUGCUUUUUAUAUUUAUGUUAACUUUUGUUCAAGCUAGAGAGCAA
rnacentral:lncRNA from 1 species